UACAGAGGGUGCGAGCGUUGUUCGGAAUUACUGGGCGUAAAGCGUGCGCAGGCGGUUUUGUAAGUCUGUCGUGAAAUCCCCGGGCUCAACCUGGGAAUUGCGAUGGAGACUGCAAGGCUAGAAUCUGGCAGAGGGGGGUAGAAUUCCACGUGUAGCAGUGAAAUGCGUAGAGAUGUGGAGGAACACCGAUGGCGAAGGCAGCCCCCUGGGUCAAGAUUGACGCUCAUGCACGAAAGCGUGGGGAGCAAACAGG
rnacentral:rRNA from 1 species